CAGUGACUCAUUGGAUUGCCAGUUCACGAUGCAGGAGCUGAGCUAUCUGACACGGAUGGCUCCCUCCUUCAGGCUGAGAGACCUUGAAUAAGAUUUUGAUAGAUUUCUGACCCAAGAAACCUGGGUUUUAAUUUACCUCCCUUGGAGCCUGAGGCUGGAUAUAAUGCUGAAAAAGUUUCUGUGCCACUGAAAGCCUUUUCUUCUGUGAUGGGAUCUUUUUGAAGUUCUCACAAGCAAGCCAGAACUCAAUGUUUUCAUCACUGUAUUCUGUCUUUAGGUAGGAUCUGUAGAUUAUGCGCCCAUCUGAAAAGUAUGCAGUGGUUAAAUAUUGAUUUAUCAACACAAUUGUCAGUAUUCUGAAUGAAAAUGUCCUAGCCAGAUGUGGCUGGAACUCAAUACAAAUAGUAGUCAAGAGUUGGUACCUAAAAUGACAAUUUUCUCCCUAUUGCUUUUACAAUGUACUUAAACCAAUGUUUUAUGAUGUCAUCAUUUUUGUACAUUCCAUCCUCACCCUCCAGCAAAUCCAAUAAAAUU